rnacentral:tRNA from 1 species
UGGGGGUUUAGCUCAACCGGUAGAGCAACUCGCUUACAACGAGUAGGUUAGUAGUUCAAGUCUACUAGCCCCUAU